rfam:Piromyces finnis strain finn BCR36scaffold_75, whole genome shotgun sequence.
GGGGUUGUAACUCAGUGGUAGAGUGUUCGCUUCGCAUGCGAAAAGCCGCGGGUUCGAUUCCCGCUAACUCCA